rnacentral:rRNA from 1 species
ACCACUCGGCAACUGAUAUCUUGGCUCUCGCAUCGAUGAAGAACAUAGUGAAAUGCGAUACCUGGUGUGAAUUGCAGAAUCCCGCGAACCAUCGAGUCUUUGAACGCAAGUUGCGCCCGAGGCCACUCGGCCGAGGGCACGCCUGCCUGGGCGUCA